rnacentral:misc_RNA from 1 species
AACGCACAUUGCGCCCCUUGGUAUUCCGAGGGGCAUGCCUGUUCGAGCGUCAUUACACCACUCAAGCACUGCUUGGUAUUGGGCACUCGUCCGUCGAAAGGCGGGCGUGCCUCGAAGACCUCGGCGGGGUUUCACCAACUUCGGGCGUAGUAGAGUUAAAUCGAACGUCUUAUAAGCUUGAUGGAGCCUCAUUGCCGUUAAACCUUUUAUUUUUUCAGGUUGACCUCGGAUCAGGUAGGGAUACCCGCUGAACUUAA